UACGAAGGGGGCUAGCGUUGUUCGGAAUUACUGGGCGUAAAGCGCACGUAGGCGGCUGUGUAAGUCAGAGGUGAAAGCCCGGGGCUCAACCCCGGAAUAGCCUUUGAGACUGCAUAGCUUGAACACGGGAGAGGUGAGUGGAAUUCCGAGUGUAGAGGUGAAAUUCGUAGAUAUUCGGAAGAACACCAGUGGCGAAGGCGGCUCACUGGACCGUUGUUGACGCUGAGGUGCGAAAGCGUGGGGAGCAAACAGG
rnacentral:rRNA from 1 species